GCUGCGGCCCGAGACGGUUUCCUCGCCAGCCAGGUCAGCCCGCAAGUUCCACGUCGGACUCGGGCGGGGGCGGGAGCAAGGGGCCGCCGCGGCUGCGCGCCGGGAACGUAGCCUGAGCGUCCGCGUCGUCACUUUCGACGCAGGCCCCGGCUCGCUGGAUGUGGGGGUUGUGGACGCCAGAGGAGAAAAAUGAACACACGAAAAAAAUGUAAGGAAUCGCGAUCUCUCCUGCUUCCCUUUCCUGGGUGAGAAAGUCUUCAUAAAGAAGGAGAUUCGAGUUUUUAUUUUAAUUUCUGACACCGAAAUGUGACGAAUCUGCCAACCAGGAAUGCGAGCAGGUCCUCGUGGAAGACGCCUGGCAGGGCCCUGGCGCCGGCAGCGACUUCGCGGCUGUGCAGGUGCCUGAGCGCCCGGCGGGGUCGGCCCAGCUCUUGGCAGGUGCCUUCUCCCAGCAGAGAACCCGGUUACGGAACAGAAAUGGGAAGGCCCGCGCGCGGCUAAUGCGGAGCUGCCAUGCACCUGAGGCCACUGGCCCGCGUUAGCGUCCCUUCCUGCCGCUCGGCCCCUGACCACCCUCCGGCGUCAGCUGUGUAGACUGACUAGUCCAGAUCCGGGAAACAAUGAAGGUGUGGCCGAUGAAGUGUGUUGGGAGGAAGAGGAAGCGCACCUGGUGGGGCCAGUAUGUAGCCGGACUGCCACAUGAUCGACAGCGGUUGGAGUCCUGACCGGGUGGCUUGAAACUCACCGGCGGGUGUGCCUGUGUGCCCAAGAUGCCCGGAGGAGAAUGAAGGGAUUGCAGGGUAGCCAUGCCCAGUGCGGUUGAUUCCUCCCUUUCCCUCUCACUGUCUCCGCUUCCUCUCUCCAGACAGUGCACUCGCCCUAACGCCAAAACACACUCAAAAAAUUAAUAAAUAAAUUAUA